rnacentral:rRNA from 1 species
CCCUCAACAGGAGGAUAGCUCCCCGAAAGGGGAAUUAACACUCCAUAAGAUCACGAAAGGGCAUCCGAUUGUGAUUAAAACUCCGGUGGUUGAGGAUGAGCAUGCGGAUGAUUAGCUAGUUGGCGGUGUAACGGACCACCAAGGCGAUGAUCAAUAGGGGAACUGAGAGGUUUAUCCCCCACACUGGCACUGAGAUACGGGCCAG